rnacentral:tRNA from 1 species
AGAGCAGUGGCAUAGUGGUCAGUGCUAUGGCUGCCAACCAAAAGGUCGGCGGUUCAAAUCCACCAGGCGCUC